rnacentral:rRNA from 1 species
UGGGGAAUCUUGCGCAAUGGGCGCAAGCCUGAUCCAGCCAUGCCGCGUGAGGGAAGAAGGCCUUCGGGUUGUAAACCUCUUUCGGGCGGGACGAAACGGGGCGCACGAAUAGUGCGUCUUACUGACGGUACCUUGCGUAAGCCACGGCUAACUACGUGCCAGCAGCCGCGGUAAUACGUAGGUGGCAAGCGUUGUUCGGAAUUAUUGGGCGUAAAGGGCGCGUAGGCGGUUUGUUAAGUCGGUCGUGAAAGCCCGGGGCUCAACCCCGGAGGGUCGACCGAUACUGGCAGACUAGAGUACAGAAGAGGUAGCUGGAAUUCCUGGCGUAGCGGUGAAAUGCGUAGAUAUCGGGAGGAACACCUGAGGCGAAGGCGGGCUACUGGGCUGAUACUGACGCUGAGGCGCGAAAGCUAGGGGAGCAAACGGGAUUAGAUACCCCCGUAGUCCCUGAGCGGGCUGGCAAGGCGCAU